AAACGUUGGGUUGUUUUUUCAACCCAACUGCUGGGUUGAGCCAGUUGGGUUAUUUUGUUGGGUUGUUUUAUCAGUGUUGGGUAGUUUUUGUGUAACCCAACUUGUUGGGUUAUAUAUUGGGUAAUUUUGAAGCAGAGCCAACUUAAUAGAUACAUAUAGCUGUUUCUCAAUAUUACUUUCUCUAGUCCACAAAAUGUAUUUUAAACAUAAGUUCAGGCGAGAAUAUGAACGCGGGAAUUUACCAUCACCUCAGGAUUCAUACACGGUUUUUCAUCGACUUAUCUUUGAUUUAUUUGAAGGAAAAGACCCUGAUGGAUAAAAGAUUGGAUAUUUUUUCCUGGAGAAGCUAAAACAAUGUCACUUUGAGGUUCUGAUACCAGCUUUUACAAAGUUAUUUACAGAGUUCACAAGAGUUCUCUGUGUUAUUUCCUGACAAUGCCGAAAAGCUAUUUGAAACUUGGGCACUGCAUUUUACAGACAGAAUCCUGCAACUUCCCAGCCAAGAACCAGGAGCAUCAACAAAUCACCUCCAGAACCCCAUGAUGAUAUUCCAACUCCUGUCUACAAAAGUGGGAAGAAAAUUUUAAGUCUAUGUUGGGACCAACAUGGUUGCAUUCUUCUGAGAGGCUGAGGUGACAAAACCAUUCCCAUUUGUCCUUGGAUUGGAAGAUGGCGAUCUCUGCCAUCAAGCCUUCAUUGUUUUUGACAGACAGUCACUCCAGCAAUACACCCUCCUUGGUGAUGUUGACAUGUUUUAAACUUUUUUUAUGUUUUGGACAUUCAUUUUA